UGUCCCCAUGCCAAAAAUAGGUUCAUUACCACUGUCCCACACCUGACAGUAAUAGUCAGCCUCGUCCUCGGCCCGGGCCCCGCUGAUGGUCAGGGUGGCCGUGUUCCCCGAGUUGGUGCCUGAGAAUCGGUCAGGGAUCCCUGAGGGCCGGUUGCUAUCCUUAUAGAUAAUCAGCGCUGGGGCCUGGCCUGACUUCUGCUGGUACCAGUAAACAUAAUAACUUCCAAUGUUGUUUCCUCCACAUGUGAUCCUGGCCGUCUGUCCCAGGUUCACUGCCAUUGAUGGGGGCUGAGU